AAAACGAAAUCGCGGCCCACUGCGCAGGCGAGCAACGGCAGCUCUGAGCAGCGGCCUUGGAGCGCAUGCGUAGGUACUGAACGGACCCCGUAGGAGGCUACUGCGCACGCGGGAGGGGAAAUAAACAAAGUAGCGGGGUGAAGGCGCAAGCGCAGAGCGUAGCCACGGGGGGGGUUGUUUGAUUAAACGCUGCGCAAGGGGCGGAGUCUUGCGUAGGCGCACGAAAGCGGUCGGCUUCUCAACCGCCGACUUUCCGCCUCGUUGCACAUCUGUGGAGGAGGAGGAGCUUGUGGUCCGCUGCCUUGAGGUUUGACCUACUUUUCUAGGCUGGGGCCUCCGUAGACCUGAGGGGUAGCUAACUGGGCGCGCCUCAGAGCACGCUUCUCACCUCUGGGGAGAGGCCGGCUGCAGAAAUAGCGAACCAAGGCGGACUUGGAGCGCGGUCACCUGGCUUCAAAUUCCCGCUCAGGCACGAAGCUCACUCGGUGACAUUCCUAGUCACUCUCGCAGCCUAGCCUACCUCACAGGGUUGUUCUGGCGGCUCCCCCCCCCCCAGUGUGUGUGAGGCUUUGAGUUGUCCAAACUCCUUGGCUAAAAAGCUGGAUAAAAAUGAAGUAAAUAACGAACAGGGAAAGGGCUGCAAGCUCAUUGGCAGAGUACACGGUUUGUAGGCAUAUCGUUCCAUUUCUGACACCGACAGGCUGGGCUGGGAAAGGCGUCUGUUUGAAACCCUGUAGAACCCUAACCCCUCUUAAAAGGAAGUGGACCAGUGGACUCCUGGGUUGCUCCUGGAAAAGUCCUGCCCGUUUCCAGUGGGUGAACAAUAAUCUCCAGUGUCGGUAGAUGUGCUUGACUGACGUAUUCCCUUGGUUACCCUGUUUCGCUUUUGAAAAAAUGCCACCUCUCUGGCAGAGCAGGGUGCACCCGAUGCAGGUGAAGCCAGGACAGAGUCUGGUGAGUGAGAGGACAAGAUGGGUGAGGGGAGGAGCCAGGACAGAAUCUGGCAUGUUUUGGACCGAGCUGGUCUUUUGCUAGCUUUUCAGGGUUGCUUACUUGGCAAGAGUACAGCUUUAUAUUUGGACUAGUAACAGUGGUCUGUUGACAAACCUUACUGAGGAAAGAUUGCUGCUUUCCUGUACAAUUGUCAUUGCUUUAUUUGCAUAUGUAACACUUUUACGUUGCCCAACACUAAGUGCUAAUAGUGAAAGGAUAAUACAAAAUCUAGUUUCUUUUUUGAGGAGCAGACACAUAAAAAUUAUCUUAGCGGGGAAAAGUUUAGGUCCCACAUUUUUGCUGUGCCUGCUCUGGUGCCGUUCGGUGAUAAUACAGAAAUUGUACAGGCAAAGCAUUGUUUCUAGGAAAGCUUUACCUACUAAAUUUCCAUGUAGCAGGCUUCUUUUAAUUUUUAGUCAUUUAAAAAAAUUGAAUUGACUACAAAUACUUAGGAUGGUCUAGAAUUUCAUAGGGGUGUGAUUUAAAAUCUAUUUUGCUGUUGCUUUAUUUUAUGUCUGCUUGGCUUUAACAUUUUCAUAUUGUUAAAUAAUAAAUACUUGCAUCCUGUUUGCUUUUUUCUAUGUAUCAUUGUAGGCUUCAGAUAGGGUUGAUCGUAAUCUGAUGUGUAGAAACAAGCAACUUCAUCAAAAGAUCAAAAGUUUCUGUGAUGCUGACCAGAAGCAAGUUUGCUGCACUUUUGAAGGAAGACUUCAGAUCCCAUUUGCAAUGAAGAGUCUGAAUACUUCAUAUUGACACAGAGAUGAACCACAGCAGAUGUUUCAGUAGUAGUUGCACAUAUGAAGGUACAGCCCCUGCUAGCCUUAACAGUAAUAUCAAGAGUAAAAGGGAGGCACACACAACCCAUUUGAAUGCAGUACCCAGCACUUCCCUGUGAAGAUAUGUGGGAAAGCAAACAGCAGCAGAGGCUGUGGUGUUUGUGCAUAGCCAUUGUGGUUGCAUUUUAUUGUCAUACUUGAUCUUUAUUAUUAUACAAAAUAUACAGAGUUGAAAAUGCAAAGCUGAUAGCAGAGCUCAAUGUGCCCCACUAGUGCAGUGGGAAUGGGCCAUCUGGCCCUGAUUUAGUGAUUGUAGUGAGAGCACAGGUAGAAAUAUGCAGCUGGCGUAUAGGUGAGGAGUGGAGCAGUGGCCCCACCCACAUAGGGAUUGCCAUCAGGUUAGGAGUAUCAACAGACAGGAUGAAGAUGUUUCAAACAAAAGAACAAUCUGCAAGGAGAUGAGUGAUGGGUCAGGAUAUGGGCUUUGCAAAAUCAGAGAAUGAUUCUAAAUAGAACCAAUGUAACGCUGAAUGAAAAGGUCAUGUCCUCCUACUUUAUGUUCAUUAUUUUAGAAUAACCUGGUUUCUGUAAUGCUCUUAAUUAGAUUGAAAUCCCCACUUUACCCAUAAACAUGCAUUAAAAGAGUGAUGGUGGGUAAAUUCACCAUCUUCUCUCUCUGACCACCCUUACUACAAAUGUGACAGUUUAGUUAAAGGGUGUCAGAAGGACAAAUUCUCUGUAUUAAAUGGAUGUUGAGUAUGCAGCCUAAGACAUACUUUUCAAAUGCAAAAUCCCCUGCAAUAGUGAAGUACUUUGUCAGAAAGGGAAUAAAAGCCCUUUUUAAAGGUGAGUAUAUCUGGGCUGGUGGAAGAUCACUGUGUAUGGGGAAGUAAUCUAUGUGGUGUUUCUUUACUCUCAACUCCCCACCAUAGUUUCUAAUGGAGCUAUGGCUGUAUCUGAUAACAGACACAGUGAAAAGUGGGAAAGGCUAUCAAUAUUUCACGGGAGUGGGCCACAGCUGCAUUUUGAAGACUAAUCUUGAAUGCAGCUAUCUCUGGAAGCAAGGAAUUCUGCCUAAACCUGGAAAAGACAGACCGUAUCAGGCUGGAUGGACCAUUGGCCUAACACGGUAUAAAGCACCUCCUUUUAUAAUUUACUUGGGCUCACCAGCACCCAUCUUUAUUUGGUAGCUGACAGUAUGAGGAAAUAUGCUCUUGGCCCUUCUUGAAAAUGCAGCCCCAGAAGCCAGCCUGUAGCUGAGAGCAGGAUAGUCUUGAGUCUGGACUAAUUGUAAUUCCCAGUUCUGAUUACAGCACUUUCCACCCUGACUUGCUUGUAACCAGGAAGGCAUUUGAAUUGUCACCUCUGUUCUUGAAGAACAACUCUGGGUUCUUAGUAAAGUGAGACAAUCACUUCUGCUAGAGUGUUCCAGCAUAAAGACCCAUCAGGAAAAGCACAGGGCUACUUUAGACACACUUGGAAGUGGCAGUGUUAUAAGGGUAGUGCUAACUUUGCAUACCAGCCAGGUACUUGUUCAUCUUUGAUGAGGGUAGUUCCCUCAGCAGUGGCCAGCUGUCAGCCAUGUGGCUUGCAUCCCAUCCACAGCUAACAGAGCCAGUUUAAAUAUCAUGGCUGCUUCAUGCAGUGACCGUAAAGUGUGGAUUUCCCCGGAUGUGUGUGAAGUUUCUACAUCACCACAAGAUAUUCCUAGCAAUGGCAGCAUGGGAAUUUUCUGUACAAGGGAAAGUGAUCUACCAUACACAUUAUGGCCAUAUCAAUGAUUUCAGGAUGGCAAUUAGAACAUGCUCUGGUGUCAGACAUACACAUAUACCACAGUAGGCAACUUUUAUACUGGAAGCUGCCCUGUGAGCAAUUGCAGGGUAGCAGAGCACUACUAUACUAUUCUGACUGGUUAUGAAUAGCCACGGAGGGUAGUUUGGGUGUGACUCUUCUCUUCCCCUCCUCCCCCCUCCAACUUCUCCUAUAGGCCUUAAGGGGUAAGAAACACUAGUGUAAACCCUUAAGUUUGAGAUAAGCCAGAUAGGAUGGUACUGGUGAGGAAUGAGGAUGGGAGAGAUGCAGGAGAAAGGAAACUGUUGUGUUGUGCACAGAAUCAGGCUUUCUUGGAUGGAAGAUGGGAGUGCAAGAUGGUAGGAGGAUGUUUGUGAUUAGAAAUUGUUUCAUUGAAGAGAAUGCAUGUGUGGAAGGGACAGGCUUGGGGAGGGUUAUACAGGGAUGGGAUUGUUAAAAUCAUUUUGAGGCAUGGGGAGGAGAAACUAAGCCAAGGUAAAUGAACUUUAAAAACAUAGUGUGGUUAUGGGUCCAGGCAUUGUACAAAUUUAAAUAAAAGUAACCACCAUGUAGAUGCCAAACUGUUCCCAAUCUCUAAGAUCUGAUCCUUAGCAGAAAACACAUCUGAACUACACAAAGAGGGACCCUUAAGCGCUGGCAUGAUGGGUUGGCAAGAACUGAAAUGGCAGCCUCAGGAAGGAGAAGAGCCAAAGCUGGGCUCCAGUGCACAUGGAAGUCUGUUUGCAUAGCUAAAAAUCCUGAGUUGGCCAGUUCCAAUUCCUGUCCUUCACACACUCUUGAAUGAUACAUUCCACUUUCAGACCACAGAACAAAGAAACUCAUUUCUGUGGGUCUUUGAAUCUUGCUCUAGACUGCCAAGUGCCUAAGUGCUUACUCAAGAUUGCAACUGUAGUCUGAGAUGGGAGCUAAAGUAUAGGGUUGGUUGUUAGGGUGCAGGAACAAUAACUGAGAUGAGCCUGAGCGGAGUUAAGUGCUGGGAUAAAACUAGGGCUGUGGGUAAGAUAUUAAGAACAUUGGUAGAACUAGCUUGUGUACUGAAGAGGAUGCUAGGCAGGGCCAGGAUAGAGGGUGCUCAUCUCUGCCAUCUAGAUAUUGCCUGCUGUUGAGUACCUCAGCCUCUGGCUCGCUAACUCUUCCCUCACUUUUCUGCCUUCGUUGGGAUACAGUACCUGUUUGUGUGGCCAAAAAACCCCCAAACCUAUUCAGUAUCAUCCUUGUCUCUUUCCUAUACUUUGCCUUAAUCUGAGUGGUCUUGUCAUACUAGAAUCAGCUUCAAGAUUCUAGCUCUUUUUAAGCCCUUAAUAUCUCUGUUACAGGAAGUUUCUCUUUCUUUGUCUUUGUUUAUUUUCCAUGUUGGCCUCUGCAGUUUGCACAAUUCCUCUUUCAUCAGUUUUCGUCUCCUAUAUUGCCAUGCCACUCUUUCCUCCAUGCAUCAAACAGCUUAUUCCAAUUUGAGCCCUUCCACAAGACCUACAUUUUCAGCUUCUCUGGCUAGUCCACUCCCGCUGCUCAUUAUGAAUCUCUGACCCAUUACAGUAUCCUUGUCCUGGCCAGCUAGUGUGAUCUGUAAGCCCUCUACAUAGGUACAGUGUUGCCGUUGUGCUCUGUUCAGAACCUGGCACUCUGUUGGAGAUUCAUAAACACUCUGAAGAUGCUGGUUGCCCAUACUGUUUCUGCUUCUGAAUGACCCAAGGGCUUAUUUGUAAUAAAACAUGAAAAGCGGGUAAGCAUCACAGAGAGAUGAGCAGCAGCUAAAGAGAUAGUUGGCACAGGGAAGAAACAGCAAAGCUCUCCCCACCCUCUAAUGUGAUUCCUAGGAUUUUCUUUUAUCUACUCUCACACAUGCCCUCUUCCAUUCACCAUGAUCACUGUAAGUCAAGGAGCUAUGUCGUGUUUUUAUCUUUCAGUGAAUUUAGUUCAAGGACAAAACAUACCCUUGUUGAUGCCAGACUGUCACCCGUAAACCUUAGCUGAACCCUGAGUUUCUUCUCACUGAAGGAUGUCUGAGCUCUUGACACCUACUUUCUGUAUGGCCGUCAGUUGUUGGAGCUGCGUACCAGAUAGUAUUAUCAUUAUCUCAGGCCACAUAGAGACCCUGCCCAGUGAGACCACAGAGAUUCCAUCCUCACUUAAAUGUUUCUAGUGAUAUGUCCUCACCACUUCUACCCCUGUUUUCAUGACAGUUUAUGGGGGGGGGGAAUGCAAGGAAAAGCUCUGAUCAAGCUUAGUGUACUUUCUUGCCAUGGGAAUCCAAGCAUAAUUCACCCCUCCUCCUGAUCUGUAAAUGAAAGCUAAAGGUUGUGUUGUACCUGCCUCUUGUGAGUGGCACACAGUUUUCAUUCCCUGUUGAGGAUGCAAAGAAAAGAAACCACAAAGCAAAAUCCCACUCACUCUCUAUUUCUUUGCCUCAGCUCUCCCCCAGAGUUUAGUGCCAGGAUUGCAAGUUACCUUGGCACUGGGAAAUUUAUCCCCCAAUUGGAAGCCUCAGGGUAUUGCAGUGAGAGCCUUGGUGUAAAUUAGAUGGAGUCCACUCCUUAUAGGCAGUGGGUAAGAUUGCACACACACAAAAUCCUUUGAAAGUCCUUGGCAAUCACCUGUUGCACUGCCGUUUGGUGGUGUGAAACCUGCUUGGAACCCCAGUGAAGGGUUGGGGGUUGCUGUGAUUUGGAAGGCCCUAAAGGGUGGGCAUACUACUUGGUGACAGGGCAGUGCAGCUUCCAAGGGGAGGCAGCAGAUUGAUCCGGGUUUUUUUUUCUUUUCAAUGCCCAGAGGAAGUGCUUGUGGAUGUCAGGCUGUUCCCCCUGCUGGGCCUUGGUCCAACCCAGCCAAAGGCUCCCUCCCACCCCCAUGGUUCCCAUUGCAGGGACUUUCCCCCAGUUGCAUCUCGAAUACAUGGUCUCCAGAAAUGUCUCCCAGUCCAGCAUGGACAAGGGGCUGCUUUGUCCAUACAGGCAAGAGAAGAAUGCCUCAGAGGGAUACACCAAGAAGAGAAGCCCCAGGAGUGUGUGUGAAGGUCUGGGCUCCAGUAGUGGCCCACUAGAUCACAUUGUCAAAGAGCUUCAUGGAACUCAUGAUGUUUUCAUCCUGCCAAAGAAAAGAGGACAAAUUAGAAUAAUUAAGAAGUCCUAGAACUAAUUAUCAGCUUUGACUCCCUCCGCCCCCGCAAAACAUAUAGGGGGUGUAAAGGACCUUUUCAACCCCCACCCCCUUUUUAUGCAUGGCAGAAAAAUAGCAGUGGUCUGUACCCACUGACAGUAAUGUAAUAUCCCCACCCUUCUCUAACAGGGGUAUGCUACCUUCUGGCAGGACUCAAUGAAUUCCUCAAUAGUCACCACUCCAUCCUUGUUCCGAUCCAUUUUCUGAAAUGCAAGAACCAGGGAUAUGAGAAUUAAAGGCAAAGUAACAUCUGUUUCCUAGGAGCAGCUUCAGGCACACUACAACACCCACAGCCAGGAAGGACAUUCUUGAGGCAGACCUGGUCAGGGAACCUGUCAGCUUCUAGGUAGCUUCAAAGGCAUUUCUGGCAGAGAAUGGCCCCCUACCUCACUAAUGACAUCUUGCAAGCAUCCAAGGAAACAGCAGUGGGCUGGUGCUGCAAACAGGUCCACUACUAUGAUCAUAGCAGUAAGAGAUGGGAGAUGCUGCCUCUACUGGAAAGAGGAAGGAAGAGUGCCCAUUGGGAAAGCUUAAAGUUCUGACAAAACCCUGUGUUGAGUUUUCUACUCUGUGUUGACUCUGUACCCAAAUGCACACAUUUGCAUUCCAAAUGUGUUGAACUACAACUCCCAUUAUCCCUGGCCAUUGGUUACGCUGGGCAGGUAUGGUGGGAGUUGGAAUCCAAAACGUCUGGAGGGUGCCAAGAUGGAAAGGCUUUUCUAGGAAGAGGGCAAACCCAAAUAUCUUGACUAAAAUAACCCACUCGCUCAACUACCAGGGAUGGGAAGGUUUUGUAGAACUACAGGAUACUGACAUGGAGUAGUAAUUGUGGUUUACUCAGAGUAGACCCAUUGAAACGAAUGGUCCUUAGUUAUGUUCAUUAAUUUCACUGGGUCUUCUUCACCCAUGGAAAUGUCCUGACUCAAGGCUCACCUGGAAAAAGCUUUCCACAUGCUCCUGAGGUGCUUCUUCUCGCAUGGCUGGGUAAGUGUAUUUGCCCAUCAUGUCAUAAAUGGAUUUCAUUAUGUCCAGCAUUUCCUGCAAGACAAGAGCACAAAAAGAAUGGCCAGCAGAAAUCAGAUCUUGAUUGUGGGCUGAGGGAGAUUCAUAAGAAAGUGGACAACAAGCAGGAGAGCCCAGUAUCUACCAUUGGUACCAUUGACUCCAUCUCCCUCUAUAUGUACCUCUUUGGUGAUACAGCCAUCUUUGUUCAGGUCAUAGAGGUUGAAGGCCCAGUUGAGCCGAUCAUCUAUAGUACCACGUAGAAUAAUAGAUAAGCCAGCCACAAAAUCCUGCAGGGGAAUG